GACACAAUCCUCAGUGACUGACAAGUCUAAUAGCAAUUCCAGUGAGACCUGACAAACGGUAUCCAGUCCAAAAAGACUUUAAAGAUUGGUUGGGUGGAUGUCGCUUACCCGCACAAGAAGGCUUAUGCGUUCCCGCCGAAUGCUGACCCAGACGGAUUUCACUACACCUGCAGAGCUAAGGAAGGAGGACCAGUUCAGCUGAAAGAAGUUAUAUUCACCAAGGAACAGAAAAUAAAAGUAUUUCAGGAUGUUCAUGAUCCCAGUAGAGGAGUUCACAUGGGCACCAGCAGGACUAGUGCCAAACCAAAGAGAGAUUUUAUUGAGAGAUUGAUGGGCAAGAUGAAAGAAUCAACCAAUUCCUGAAAGAUGUUUUAACUAAACUGGUAAAUGAGAAUUAACCAGCUGCUGCUGCUCUAUUUGUUAUAAGAACAUCAGUACAAGCUUCAGCAAAGUAUUCUCCCUUUUUCUUGAUGUCUGGUGGACAGUGAAGACUAUUUAUUGAACUGUAACAAAAUUACAAUAAACUUGAUGUUUUAGA